AUAUUGGAUAAUGGGGGCAACCCUGAUCCAGACAUGCCUCGCGUGUGAAGAAGGUCUUCGGCGUGUAAAGCACUUUAAGUUGGGUGGAAGGGGUUUAAGCUAAUACCUUCAAUCCUUGACGUUUCCAACAGCUUAAGCACCGGCUAACCCUGUGCCUUCAGCCUCGGUAAGACAAAGGGUGCAAGCGUUAAUCGGAAUUACUGGGCAUAAAGCGCUCGUAGGUGGUUCCGUAAGAUGGAAGUGAAAUCCCCGGGCUUAACCUGGGAACUGCUUUCAUAACUGCUGAGCUAGAGUACGGUAGAGGGUAGUGGAAUUUCCUGUGUAGCGGUGAAAUGCGUAGAUAUAGGAAGGAACACCAGUGGCGAAGGCGACUACCUGGACUGAUACUGACACUGAGGUGCGAAAGCGUGGGGAGCAAACA
rnacentral:rRNA from 1 species